AAUUGCAGUUCUAUCUUCGGUUUCGGGGCUUGAAGUUACAGAAAAGAAAUUAACUAGUGGUGAACUUCUCUUGAUUGCUUGUUGCAUCUUGAUCGGUCUGUUUGCUCUGCAGCACUGUGGCACACAUAGAGUUGCCUUUUUAUUUGCACCUAUCGUAUUGAUCUGAUUAUUUUCCAUUUUUUCUAUUGGUCUCUACAACACAAUACAUUGGAACCCAAAAGUUGUUUAUGCUUUUUCACCCCAUUAUAUUGUCAAGUUCUUUAAGGAGACUGGUAAAGAUGGUUGGAUUUCUCUUGGUGGGAUUCUUCUUUCUAUAACUGGAACCGAAGCUAUGUUUGCAGACCUUGGUCAUUUUACUGCUUUGUCAAUAAGGGUGAGUUUUAU